AGAAGCAUCUCUCAACACACAACAAACAAACCUAGCUUGGUAACCAAGACAGGUAGCAACAACAAAAGGAGACAAUGGAGGGCAAGAGGAUGCUCACUGGCACUACCACUUUGAAGGCGAUCAUGUGCCUGCUCAUAUUGAGCAUCGCUGUUCACUCGACCGCCGCAGCACAAUGUAGCUGCUGUGUAAGUGCCCGGGCAAAAGCAUGUUGUUUUGCUUGUAUUGCCGCAGGUGGCUCCGACAUAAUAUGCAAGAACACUUGUUGUUUCCCCUGUAUUCUUGCCGAUUCGGUUGUUGCUAAGAUGGAAGAAAUGGGAGCCAAUGUCGCGAUGGGAGGAGUAGAAUAAAAUGAUAUGCGUGCACUGCUACUAGUAUGGAUGCCAUUCACAUGCAUAUGAUGCAUUGCUUCAAGCUAUGGUCAAGUUAUGUUAAUGUUUACCUACAAUAAAUUGUUGAAUGUUUGGGGACAACUCUGGUUGAACCAUGUGUUUGUCUGAAUUACAUAUAUGUUAUGCAUUUGUGCAUGUGUGUCAGCUCACAAGCCUAUUUAUUUGCUCUUGCUGCUUGUAAUAAGGCCAUAGAGAGUUUCCACAAUGAUAUGUAGCGUGCACGUAUGUUAUAAUACAUUUAUAUAUUGUCUGCGCCCUUGCCAAUUUUA